GGGUGAGUAACGCGUGGGAACGUACCUUUUGGUUCGGAACAACACAGGGAAACUUGUGCUAAUACCGGAUAAGCCCUUACGGGGAAAGAUUUAUCGCCGAAAGAUCGGCCCGCGUCUGAUUAGCUAGUUGGUGAGGUAAUGGCUCACCAAGGCGACGAUCAGUAGCUGGUCUGAGAGGAUGAUCAGCCACAUUGGGACUGAGACACGGCCCAAACUCCUACGGGAGGCAGCAGUGGGAA
rnacentral:rRNA from 1 species